UACGGAGGGUGCAAGCGUUAUCCGGAUUCACUGGGUUUAAAGGGUGCGUAGGCGGGUUGGUAAGUCAGUGGUGAAAUCCCCGAGCUUAACUUGGGAACUGCCAUUGAUACUAUCAGUCUUGAAUACCGUGGAGGUCGACGGAAUAUGUCAUGUAGCGGUGAAAUGCUUAGAUAUGACAUAGAACACCAAUUGCGAAGGCAGCUGGCUACACAAUUAUUGACACUGAGGCUCGAAAGCGUGGGGAUCAAACAGG
rnacentral:rRNA from 1 species